AGAGGUUUGUACCUUUCUCUUAGAGGCAGCUGCAUCUUCCCAGGCACUCAGCACUCAUAUUUCAUUCUUCACUGUAGAGUUUUUCCUCUCGUAGUUUUGACUUACCCUGGCUGACACUGUGACAGUUACCUGACUGGUCACUUGAUCCCCUGCGACCCAGAAACAGUCAGCCUGGAGGGGUGUGGAGGCUCCACUACCCCUGGAGUUACAGGAAAUCGCCAUGAAACUGGAGGGGCCGGUGAGGUGGGCCAAGGAGUCAGCAUGGUCCUCAAAAGGCCUGCUACUGCCUUAAGGGGACGCACAUAUGAAUAACCCUCUUUGUGUUGCUGAAUUCUGACUGCUCAAGUCUCCAUCUACAGGAGCUUCAAGAGGUGGAUUUUUUUUCUAAAAGCUCCUCUGGAGACCUCACUCAGCACAGGACUCUCAGCAGCUCAUUCUAAUCCAGCUGCCAUCCCUGCCUCUGGCCUUGGCCCCAGUCCAGAAUGAGGACAUUUCUCAAUGGUUUAAGAGCUUCCUGCUUCUAGAAGAGGAGAAGACCAUGAGGGCUCAGUGGCAUCACAGAGGGAAGAAGCCUGGGUCCAGAAAUGACCAUGAAGAAGACAUCCCACUAGCCAGAAACACCCAAUUGAAUAUUUUGGGAGUGUUAUUGGCAAAAAAAAAUAACCCCCUAGAGAUAUCCCCAUCCUAAUCCCCAUCACCUGUAAAUAUGUUACCUUAUAUGGCAAAAUGGACUUUGCCUGUGUGAUUAAGUUAACGAUCUUGACGUAGGGAGAAUAUUCUGGAUUAUUCAGAUAGGCCCACUGUAAUUGCAAGGAUCCUUCAAGGAAAAGAAGGAGGCAGGAAAGUCAGAUCAGAGGAGGCAAGGUGAGAGCAGGAGCAAGGUGAUUACUGGCUUUGAAAGUGGAGGUAGGGGCCACAAGCCAAAGAAUGCAGGUGGCCUUUAGAAGCUAGAAAAGGCAAGGGAAUGAACUCUUCAGAAGGAAUGCAGCUGUGUGGACACCUGGAAGGAAAUCCAUUGAGACCCAUGUCAGACUUCUG
rnacentral:lncRNA from 1 species